rnacentral:misc_RNA from 1 species
GCAAACUUGGUCAUUUAGAGGAAGUAAAAGUCGUAACAAGGUUUCCGUAGGUGAACCUGCGGAAGGAUCAUUAAAAAAGAGAUUUCGGCUGGCCGCUGGGCAACUGCGACUUAGUAGUCCAGCCGAUGCCUUCAGGCCCCUUUGUGAGACGCGGGGCGUCGGCCGCCGACGUCGCCCGUGUUGCUUCGGCGUGCAGCGCUGGGCGUAGCAGCCCGGCGCGGGCCGCCAGAAGAGCAAAAACUCCUGGUUUAAUCGUUGGCGUCGGAGCUUAUUUUUGAAAAUAAUCGAAAACUUUCAACAACGGAUCUCUUGGUUCUCGCAUCGAUGAAGAACGCAGC